CACGUUCUCCAAAAAGUGCACCAGGAAGGCAGGAGGCCGUGCUGGAAAAGGCGGCCACACGUUACAGGAGAAGACCAGGGUGGAGAGGGAAAAUUACCUCCAGCUUGGCGACCCAGCUGUUAAGCAGAACAAAUCAAUCCACGGAUGGAGAAGAGGUCGUGGGUCUUCUGAGCCCAGCUGAUACACACCAAGUAAUCCACGUUAAGGGGUCCGCAGCCCCCCACCCAAUUCCCCACUUUCCAUCCAAGGCCAAAGAGCAGCCAGACCCUGUCCUCUGCGCUCCAGACUCGCGGAGGUCGCGGGCGGGGGUCCUCAGGCGGCCGCCUUCUCGUCCCCAGGGGUGGGCGCGCGACGCGGGCAGGGACCGGGCGCCCGGAGGACCAAGCGAGCGCAUCCCGCCUACUCGUGCUGGGACAUCACCCAGCCUGGACGCCGCUCCUCGCCUUUCUUCCCCGCGCAUCGCCAGCGCCAACCAAAGAUCCCCGCCGGGAAAGCCUCUCUGCCAAGCUGGAAAGCGCUGAAGGCGGAUCGUCUCUCAGACUUGGGUUUGCAGGUUCACAAGGCCCGGGAGGCUUACGGUGGGCGCCUGCCUAACAGAGGGUCCUUGCGGAGAAGCGCAGAACGACAAAUGCCAGAGGCGGUGACCGCGUCCUCUGGAUACCAGCGCCGCACCGCGCACCCGCGCCG
rnacentral:lncRNA from 1 species